rnacentral:rRNA from 1 species
ACUUAAAUUGAAGAGUUUGAUCAUGGCUCAGAUUGAACGCUGGCGGCAGGCCUAACACAUGCAAGUCGAGCGGUAGCACAGAGAGCUUGCUCUCGGGUGACGAGCGGCGGACGGGUGAGUAAUGUCUGGGAAACUGCCUGAUGGAGGGGGAUAACUACUGGAAACGGUAGCUAAUACCGCAUAACGUCGCAAGACCAAAGUGGGGGACCUUCGGGCCUCAUGCCAUCAGAUGUGCCCAGAUGGGAUUAGCUGGUAGGUGGGGUAACGGCUCACCUAGGCGACGAUCCCUAGCUGGUCUGAGAGGAUGACCAGCCACACUGGAACUGAGACACGGUCCAGACUCCUACGGGAGGCAGCAGUGGGGAAUAUUGCACAAUGGGCGCAAGCCUGAUGCAGCCAUGUGUGAAGAAGGCCUUCGGGUUGUAAAGCACUUUCAGCGGGGAGGAAGGCGGUGAGGUUAAUAACCUCAUCGAUUGACGUUACCCGCAGAAGAAGCACCGGCUAACUCCGUGCCAGCAGCCGCGGUAAUACGGAGGGUGCAAGCGUUAAUCGGAAUUACUGGGCGUAAAGCGCACGCAGGCGGUCUGUCAAGUCGGAUGUGAAAUCCCCGGGCUCAACCUGGGAACUGCAUUCGAAACUGGCAGGCUAGAGUCUUGUAGAGGGGGGUAGAAUUCCAGGUGUAGCGGUGAAAUGCGUAGAGAUCUGGAGGAAUACCGGUGGCGAAGGCGGCCCCCUGGACAAAGACUGACGCUCAGGUGCGAAAGCGUGGGGAGCAAACAGGAUUAGAUACCCUGGUAGUCCACGCUGUAAACGAUGUCGAUUUGGAGGUUGUGCCCUUGAGGCGUGGCUUCCGGAGCUAACGCGUUAAAUCGACCGCCUGGGGAGUACGGCCGCAAGGUUAAAACUCAAAUGAAUUGACGGGGGCCCGCACAAGCGGUGGAGCAUGUGGUUUAAUUCGAUGCAACGCGAAGAACCUUACCUGGUCUUGACAUCCACAGAACUUUCCAGAGAUGGAUUGGUGCCUUCGGGAACUGUGAGACAGGUGCUGCAUGGCUGUCGUCAGCUCGUGUUGUGAAAUGUUGGGUUAAGUCCCGCAACGAGCGCAACCCUUAUCCUUUGUUGCCAGCGGUUAGGCCGGGAACUCAAAGGAGACUGCCAGUGAUAAACUGGAGGAAGGUGGGGAUGACGUCAAGUCAUCAUGGCCCUUACGACCAGGGCUACACACGUGCUACAAUGGCAUAUACAAAGAGAAGCGACCUCGCGAGAGCAAGCGGACCUCAUAAAGUAUGUCGUAGUCCGGAUUGGAGUCUGCAACUCGACUCCAUGAAGUCGGAAUCGCUAGUAAUCGUAGAUCAGAAUGCUACGGUGAAUACGUUCCCGGGCCUUGUACACCGCCCGUCACACCAUGGGAGUGGGUUGCAAAAGAAGUAGGUAGCUUAACCUUCGGGAGGGCGCUUACCACUUUGUGAUUCAUGACUGGGGUGAAGUCGUAACAAGGUAACCGUAGGGGAACCUGCGGUUGGAUCACCUCCUUACCUUAAAGAA